rnacentral:rRNA from 1 species
GGACCCGCACAAGCAGCGGAGCAUGUGGUUUAAUUCGAAGCAACGCGAAGAACCUUACCUAGACUUGACAUCCCUCGCAUUACUGUUAAUCCAGGAAGUUUCCCCUUCGGGGGAGACGAGGAGACAGGUGGUGCAUGGUUGUCGUCAGCUCGUGUCGUGAGAUGUUGGGUUAAGUCCCGCAACGAGCGCAACCCCUAUUGUUAGUUGCUACCAUUAAGUUGAGCACUCUAGCGAGACUGCCUGGGUUAACCAGGAGGAAGGUGGGGAUGACGUCAAAUCAUCAUGCCCCUUAUGUCUAGGGCUACACACGUGCUACAAUGGCGAGUACAGAGAGAAGCAAGACCGUGAGGUGGAGCAAAACUCAAAAACUCGUCCCAGUUCGGAUUGUAGGCUGAAACUCGCUACAUGAAGUUGGAGUUGCUAGUAAUCGCGAAUCAGAAUGUCG